UACGGGGGGGGCAAGCGUUGUUCGGAAUUACUGGGCGUAAAGGGCGCGUAGGCGGCCCUCUAAGUCGAACGUGAAAUCCCCGGCCUCAACCCGGGAACUGCGUCCGAUACUGGAGGGCUCGAAUCCGGGAGAGGGAUGUGGAAUUCCAGGUGUAGCGGUGAAAUGCGUAGAUAUCUGGAGGAACACCGGUGGCGAAGGCGGCAUCCUGGACCGGUAUUGACGCUGAGGCGCGAAAGCCAGGGGAGCAAACGGG
rnacentral:rRNA from 1 species